UACGUAGGGGGCAAGCGUUGUCCGGAUUUAUUGGGCGUAAAGAGCGUGUAGGCGGCCAGACAGGUCAGCUGUGAAAACUCGAGGCUCAACCUCGAGACGUCGGUUGAAACCGUCUGGCUAGAGUCCGGAAGAGGAGAGUGGAAUUCCCGGUGUAGCGGUGAAAUGCGCAGAUAUCGGGAAGAACACCCGUGGCGAAGGCGGCUUUCUGGGACGGUACUGACGCUGAGACGCGAAAGCGUGGGGAGCGAACAGG
rnacentral:rRNA from 1 species